AGAAGGAAGAGGCAAAUGACAAGAAAACAAGCUGUUAACAGUUCAAGGCCUGGCAGGCCUCCUAAACGUUCUUUGGGAGUCUUGCAAGAUAAUGCUCGCCUUCUGCCCCAUUCAGUUCCAGGCCUCUUAUCACCAGGACUUAUCACUCCUACAGUGUGCCUUCUAACUUUUUGUUGCAAUCUGGACAAGAUGUACUGAAUAGCCUGGCUGGCAUGGCUCAGUG